UACGGAGGGUGCGAGCGUUGUUCGGAAUCACUGGGCGUAAAGGGCGUGUAGGCGGUCCGCUAAGUCUGAUGUGAAAGCCCGGGGCUCACCCCCGGAAGUGCAUUGGAAACUGGCGAACUCGAGUCCCGGAGAGGAGAGUGGAAUUCCUGGUGUAGCGGUGAAAUGCGUAGAUAUCAGGAGGAACACCGGUGGCGAAGGCGGCUCUCUGGGACGGUACUGACGCUGAGGCGCGAAAGCGUGGGGAGCAAACAGG
rnacentral:rRNA from 1 species